UACGUAGGGGGCGAGCGUUGCCCGGAUUUAUUGGGCGUAAAGGGCGCGUAGGCGGCCACGCACGUCCGUUGUGAAAUCGCCCGGCUCAACUGGGCGGGGUCAGCGGAUACGGUGUGGCUCGAGCAAGCUAGGGGGCAAUGGAAUUCCCGGUGUAGUGGUGGAAUGCGUAGAUAUCGGGAGGAACACCAGUGGCGAAGGCGGUUGCCUGGAGCUUUGCUGACGCUGAGGCGCGAAAGCGUGGGGAGCGAUCCGG
rnacentral:rRNA from 1 species